CCAGUACUAAGGGAGGCAGACGCCACCAGACGCUAACCAAACAACAAUUCCAGCCUAGUAAAAUACACAUCAUUAAUACUUAGUCACAUUUACCCCCUUGUCGCUUUAGCUCUCAUGACACCCACCUAAGGUGUCAUGAGCACCCACAUAUACCGUCUAAAGCGACAGAGUACUAAACUGUGCAGAUAUUCAUGACGCUUAUAGGUCAAUUGAUAAAAAAACUAGAGGCCGAUAAACGUUGCUCCCGUUCAUAUUAAUAACAUGUUUACUCUGUAUUUUUAGAGCGUGUUAACUUCAUUAGGAACCGCACGGCUACGUCGCGAAGUCCCUGCAAAGCAAAGUGAGAAGUGGAAUAUUCAAAGGACAUUAUACGACGCGAAAUUGCUUUGUAACUUUACUAAUUAAAAUCUGUGAGCAAACAAGGACGGUCCAGUAAUUUUAAUAGCCUCUAGAAUAUUUAUUUGUACCCUUUGGCUAUAAAAGCUUCGGUGGUUUUUCGCGGACUUCAUUAAAGCGUUGACCCUUUCGUCAGAACAUCAGAAUAUCAGGAACUAGAUAGCAGUUAAUAUGGUGGGAAAACUCCUUCUAGCAUUACUGGUGGCCUGCAGCUCAAAUUUCGCGUCUACACAUAUAGUGACGUCAGCACAUUCGGACCUAUCGUUCCUCAGCUGCGUGAGCUCGUUGACUCACACCGUACAGACCACUCUAUGUCCUAUGUACGGGCAGAUCGGGGUGUUUCCUAUGGAGUACAUGCACCCCGCUUUGGACCCUCGCGAGGCGGAGACUAGAAGCUGGGAGUUCCGGAACAACAUGAAGAGAUGCUGUACGAGACCCUGCAGCAUUUCCGAGCUGGUCGCCGUGUGUUAGACGAAUGAGAUAACGUAUUCGUGUAUAUGAAGAUGUCGGAAUAGUGUGACCGGAUCGCGGACUUGUCGUAUGCAGCGCAGUACCUUUGUACCUUCGAUUCAUUCAAUGUAUUCAAUAAAUAAUAGGGUUGUUUCCAAUUUUUUGAAACGCUUGUAUUACGUUCUACAUUAACUAAAAGUUGCCCUAAAAUUCAACUUUUAUACUAAAAACGGCUUUAAAUAUGUUAAAUUAACAAAAUAUAUUUUGACAGAUGCUUUAGCGCCCAAAACACUCUUUGAAAAUUGUGUGACGUCACAGUUUACGGUUUGACACAUAACUACAUACAUACGUAGAAGAUACGAACAGUCAACUGACAUUUGUCAUUUGUUGUUUAUCGCCUAACUGUCAACAGUGUCAAUCCGAGAGUUGUGGCGUCAUCAGAAUCUUCAAUGACGUUUUGAGUUUGGUCACGUAACGUGUGAAACAACCCUAUUAUAGUUUUUGUAGUUGUGAGCACUGAUUUAUUUUUGUAAUGUGUCUAAUGUUAAUUCCUUAUCGUAUGGAAAAAGAAUAAAAUAAUCCCUAUUA